GACGAACGCUGGCGGCGUGCUUAACACAUGCAAGUCGAACGGAAAGGCACUGCUUUUGUGGGGUGCUCGAGUGGCGAACGGGUGAGUAACACGUGAGUAACCUGCCCUUGACUUUGGGAUAACUUCAGGAAACUGGGGCUAAUACCGGAUAGGAGCUCCUGCUGCAUGGAGGGGGUGGGAAAGUUUCGGCGGUUGGGGAUGGACUCGCGGCUUAUCAGCUUGUUGGUGGGGUAGUGGCUUACCAAGGCUUUGACGGGUAGCCGGCCUGGGAGGGUGACCGGCCCCAUUGGGACUGGGAUGCGGCCCAGGCUCAUUCGGGGGGCAGGAGUGGGGAAUAUUGCACGAUGGGCGGAGGCCUGAUGCAGCACCGCCGCGUGCGGGAUGACGGCCUUCGGGUUGUAAACCGCUUUCGCCUGUGACGAGGCGUGAGUGACGGUAAUGGGUAAAGAAGCACCGGCUAACUACGU
rnacentral:rRNA from 1 species